rnacentral:rRNA from 1 species
GUAGAAUAAGUGGGAGCUGAGUCUCUUUCGGGGGUCUUGGCGACAGUGAAAUACCACUACCAUCAUUGUCUCCUUGCUUAUUCAGUAACACGGGACAAAAUGUUUUGGUGCUAAGCACAUGCUGGCAUGCGUGGUGUAGCGCUGCGUGUGUCAGUGUCUUGGUCAUGUCAGAGGACACACAAUUCGUUGUGUUGUUCUUCUGGUUUUGAUGUGCGACCCGUUCUGAAGACAAUGUCAGGCGGGGAGUUUGACUGGGGCGGUACAUCUGUCAAAUGGUAACGCAGGUGUCCCAAGGUGAGCUCAGCCAGGACGGAAACCUGGCGUAGAGUAAAAGGGCAAAAGCUUGCUUGAUUUUGAUUUUCAGUACGAAUACAGACCGUGAAAGCGUGGCCUAUCGAUCCUUUUGAUUUUAAAAUUCGGAGUUUGAAGCAAGAGGUGUCAGAAAAGUUACCACAGG